UUUUAAGUAGUAAAAUAACUACAUUGAUAUUAAAAAUCAAAGAUGAACAGAAGUUCCUUAAAAA
rnacentral:tRNA from 1 species